AAUGACUUGUUGAUGUAAGUGACUGAUGGAGGAGGUGGAGAGGGAGGUGACUGAUGGAGGAGAGGGAGGAGAAGAGGGAGGUGACUGAUGGAGGAGGAGAGGGAGGUGACUGAUGGAGGAGGUGGAGAGGGAGGAGGAGAGGGAGGUGACUGAUGGAGGAGGUGGAGAGGGAGGAUAAGAGGGAGGUGACUGAUGGAGGAGAGGGAGGUGACUGAUGGAGGAGGUGGAGAGGGAGGAGAAGAGGGAGGUGACUGAUGGAGGAGGUGGAGAGGGAGGUGACUGAUGGAGGAGGUGGAGAGGGAGGAGAAGAGGGAGGUGACUGAUGGAGGAGGUGGAGAGGGAGGUGACUGAUGGAGGAGGUGGAGAUGGAGGUGACUGAUGGAGGAGGUGAGGGAGGUGACUGAUGGCGGAGGUGGAGAGGGAGGUGACUGAUGGCGGAGGUGGAGAGGGAGGUGACUGAUGGAGGAGGAGAGGGAGGUGACUGAUGGAGGAGGUGGAGAGGGAGGUGACUGAUGGCAUAGGAGGAGAGAGGGAGGCUUUGAUUUAUUUUGAUUUAUAGAUGUUUAUUAUUUAUUUUUCUAUUUAAUUUUAAUAUUGCAGUGUGCUAAAAGGGAGCGGGCA
ensembl:lncRNA